rnacentral:rRNA from 1 species
AACGAACGCUGGCGGCAUGCCUAACACAUGCAAGUCGAACGAGACCUUCGGGUCUAGUGGCGCACGGGUGCGUAACGCGUGGGAACCUGCCUUUAGGUUCGGAAUAACUCAGAGAAAUUUGAGCUAAUACCGGAUGAUGUCUUCGGACCAAAGAUUUAUCGCCUUUAGAUGGGCCCGCGUUGGAUUAGCUAGUUGGUGGGGUAAAGGCCUACCAAGGCGACGAUCCAUAGCUGGUCUGAGAGGAUGAUCAGCCACACUGGGACUGAGACACGGCCCAGACUCCUACGGGAGGCAGCAGUGGGGAAUAUUGGACAAUGGGCGAAAGCCUGAUCCAGCAAUGCCGCGUGAGUGAUGAAGGCCUUAGGGUUGUAAAGCUUUUUUACCCGAGAUGAUAAUGACAGUAUCGGGAGAAUAAGCUCCGGCUAACUCCGUG